CGGUGACAAUAGCGUGAGGGUAACACCCGAUCCCAUCCCGAACUCGGAAGUUAAGGCUCAUUGCGCCAAUGGUACUGCGCGGGAAACCAGCGUGGGAGAGUAGGAAGUUGCCG
rnacentral:rRNA from 1 species